UACGGGGGGAGCAAGCGUUGUUCGGAUUUACUGGGCGUAAAGGGCGCGUAGGCGGCCACCGCAAGUCGACUGUGAAAUCUCCGGGCUUAACCCGGAAAGGUCAGCCGAUACUGCGGGGCUAGAGUGCAGAAGGGGCAACUGGAAUUCUCGGUGUAGCGGUGAAAUGCGUAGAUAUGCGGAGGAACACCGAUGGCGAAGGCAAUCCCCUGGACCUGUACUGACGCUCAUGCACGAAAGCGUGGGGAGCAAACAGG
rnacentral:rRNA from 1 species